rnacentral:tRNA from 1 species
GGGCAAGUGGCGAAACUGGCAGACGCACUGGUUUCAGGUAUCAGCGACCGCAAGGUCAUGAGGGUUCAAGUCCCUCCUUGCCCACCA